GCAAUGAUGAACUGAAUAGUAUUGAACAUGUGAAGUGAUGAUUUUUGUCCUCUAAGAAGUUCUGAGCUA
ensembl:snoRNA SNORD61 small nucleolar RNA, C/D box 61